rnacentral:rRNA from 1 species
UACGUAGGGUGCAAGCGUUAAUCGGAAUUACUGGGCGUAAAGCGUGCGCAGGCGGUUUUGUAAGUCUGUCGUGAAAUCCCCGGGCUUAACCUGGGAAUGGCGAUGGAGACUGCAAGGCUAGAGUUUGGCAGAGGGGGGGUAGAAUUCCACGUGUAGCAGUGAAAUGCGUAGAGAUGUGGAGGAACACCGAUGGCGAAGGCAGCCCCCCUGGGCUAACACUGACGCUCAUGCACGAAAGCGUGGGGAGCAAACAGG